rnacentral:rRNA from 1 species
AUACGUAGGUGACAAGCGUUAUCCGGAUUUACUGGGCGUAAAGGGCGUGUAGGCGGUCUUGCAAGUCAGAAGUGAAAUUCCUGGGCUCAACCCGGGCGCUGCUUCUGAAACUGCCGGACUUGAGUGCUGGAGGGGAUAGCGGAAUUCCUAGUGGAGCGGUAAAAUGCGCAGAUAUUAGGAGGAACACCGGUGGCGAAGGCGGCUAUCUGGACAGUAACUGACGCUGAGGCGCGAAAGCGUGGGGAGCAAACAGGAUUAGAUACCCGGGUAGUCCACGCCGUAAACGAUGAAUACUAGGUGUAGGGGGUAUCGACUCCCUCUGUGCCGCAGUUAACACAAUAAGUAUUCCGCCUGGGGAGUACGGCCGCAAGGUUGAAACUCAAAUGAAUUGACGGGG